rnacentral:rRNA from 2 species
ACGGAAGGCAGCAGUGGGGAAUAUUGCACAAUGGGGGAAACCCUGAUGCAGCGACGCCGCGUGAGUGAAGAAGUAUUUCGGUAUGUAAAGCUCUAUCAGCAGGAAAGAAAAUGACGGUACCUGACUAAGAAGCCCCGGCUAACUACGUGCCAGCAGCCGCGGUAAUACGUAGGGGGCAAGCGUUAUCCGGAUUUACUGGGUGUAAAGGGAGCGUAGACGGCUUUGCAAGUCUGAAGUGAAAGCCCGGGGCUAAACCCCGGAACUGCUUUGGAAACUGUAGAGCUAGAGUGCAGGAGAGGUAAGUGGAAUUCCUAGUGUAGCGGUGAAAUGCGUAGAUAUUAGGAGGAACACCAGUGGCGAAGGCGGCUUACUGGACUGUAACUGACGUUGAGGCUCGAAGGCGUGGGGAGCAAACAGGAUUAGAUACCCUGGUA